GAUGAACGCUGGCGGCGUGCCUAAUACAUGCAAGUCGAGCGAACGGACGAGAAGCUUGCUUCUCUGAUGUUAGCGGCGGACGGGUGAGUAACACGUGGAUAACCUACCUAUAAGACUGGGAUAACUUCGGGAAACCGGAGCUAAUACCGGAUAAUAUUUUGAACCGCAUGGUUCAAAAGUGAAAGACGGUCUUGCUGUCACUUAUAGAUGGAUCCGCGCUGCAUUAGCUAGUUGGUAAGGUAACGGCUUACCAAGGCAACGAUGCAUAGCCGACCUGAGAGGGUGAUCGGCCACACUGGAACUGAGCCACGGUCCAGACUCCUACGGGAGGCAGCAGUAGGGAAUCUUCCGCAAUGGGCGAAAGCCUGACGGAGCAACGCCGCGUGAGUGAUGAAGGUCUUCGGAUAGUAAAACUCUGUUAUUAGGGAAGAACAUAUGUGUAAGUAACUGUGCACAUCUUGACGGUACCUAAUCAGAAAGCCACGGCUAACUACGUG
rnacentral:rRNA from 1 species